GGACUGGUAUCUAAAAGCAAAGGAAAAGGAGCCAAUCGCUACCUGACUGUAAGGAAGAAGGAUGUAUCAGAGGCACACGCAGGCAUGACUUGUGGCUUGGCUCUCCGUACGAAACACGCUGUUCGGAGUCUGAUUCAGCGCUUUCCCGUCACAAAUAAGGAAGGCACGGAACUCCUGCCAAGGACAGAGCGAGGAAAUGCCUGUGCUGUUGAAUCUGAAAACAAAGAAGUAA